rnacentral:rRNA from 1 species
GACGGCUCAUUAACACGUGGUUAACAUACCCUCAGGUGGGGGAUAACCUUGGGAAACUGAGGAUAAUACCCCAUAGAAAAAGCAGUCUGGAACGAUUCUUUUUCGAAAGCAUAUGCGCCUGAGGAUUGGACUGCGCUCGAUUAGGUAGUUGGUGGGGUAAUGGCCUACCAAGCCUACGAUCGGUACGGGCCUUGAGAGAGGAAGCCCGGAGAUGGGGACUGAGACACGGCCCCAGGCCCUACGGGGCGCAGCAGGCGCGAAACCUCCGCAAUGCACGAAAGUGCGACGGGGGGAUCCCAAGUGCUCAUGCACAGCAUGGGCUUUUAUCAAGUGUAAACAGCUUGAGGAAUAAGGGCUGGGCAAGUUCGGUGCCAGCAGCCGCGGUAACACCGACGGCCCGAGUGGUGGCCACUUUUAUUGGGCCUAAAGCGUCCGUAGCCGGUCCAGUAAGUCCUUGUUUAAAUCCUGCGGCUUAACCGCAGGACUGGCAGGGAUACUGCUGGACUUGGGACCGGGAGAGGACAAGGGUACUUCAGGGGUAGCGGUGAAAUGUGUUGAUCCUUGAAGGACCACCUAUGGCGAAGGCACUUGUCUGGAACG